rnacentral:rRNA from 1 species
ACCUAGGAAACAGAUGACUAAUACCGGAUAACAACAGAUGAUGCCUAUCAACUGUUUAAAAGAUGGUUCUGCUAUCACUCUUGGGAUGAACCUGCGGUGCAUUGGCUAGUUGGUAGGGGUAACGGGCCUACCAAGGCGAUGAUGCAUAGCCGAGUUGAGAGACUGAUCGGUCACAUUGGGACUGAGACACGGCCCAAACUCCUACGGGAGGCAGCAGUAGGGAAUCUUCCACAAUGGACGCAAGUCUGAUGGAGCAACGCCGCGUGAGUGAAGAAGGGUUUCGGCUCGUAAAGCUCUGUUGUUGGUGAAGAAGGAUAGAGGUAGUAACUGGCCUUUAUUUGACGGUAAUCAACCAGAAAGUCACGGCUAACUACGUGCCAGCAGCCGCGGUAAAU